UGUAGUACCGCCCCCGGAGGUGUAUCCAGUUGAUAUGGUAAAUAUAAAAAUGCCUGUGUUUGUAGCCAGCACUUUCAGCCAGAGGAUUUCGAAACUGAAUUAAAGUCUCAACUGAUGGGGGUUGCCAUGUCGUCGAUCGUUGAAAAGUGAUGCUAUUCCAUAGAUUCCCCCCCCCCUUCAGUUCAAAGAGGAAGGCAUCUGAUCAGCCAACAUUGAAGCAGAAAAUAAGUCAAGCUGAGAGUCCGAUCCCAUCAACAUCUGCAGAGGCAUCAAGCUCAGCACCAGCAACUAGUGAGACUUUCAGCACAAACAAAUAAUCUGCAAGAGGUCGACGCAUUGGGUGGCGAAGAAAGGGUACGAGAGGCUUGUCCACCUGGCUGUGGCGUGCAGAAAGGACCUGCCGGUUGUCUACAAGGAGCCUGAGUUAUAGCUCCCCAAACCCAAUAUCCCUGCCAACAUCGCCAAAGCCUGCUAAACCAGCUGCCAUUACUUAACACAAGAAAAGGUUCACCCUCUGAAGAGCAUUCUGGAACCUGCCUGGAACAUUCAAGCAACGCAACAUCCAUAUUUGUGUAGUAUAAUAUAGAAUACCUAGUAUGCUCACAACUACAUUGUGGUAUAGAUAUUGCUAGUUGUUGUACAUACAGCAUAUAUAAGUAUACUGUCAAGUGGGUAAAUGAUUCCAGCUGUAUCAGAAAAGUGUUGACUUCAACUUCUGGGUCAAUUAAUUGUGAUAUUCAUGAAAUGUAUUUGGAUAAACUAGCGAAUGUCUUACUGCACAAAA